GGGAAAACAAGAUUUUCAUUUAUAUGUCAGAACUUUCAACAAAAAUCAAAGGUAAACAGAUGGUUUUCUAUAUCACUAACAAGUAAAAAUAAUUAACAUUAACAGGCUUUUCCUUGCGUCAAAAUUGAAUUUUUGUGUAACUAGACCCAUCAAAGAACACGGCUCCAUUAGAAAUUUUGUUAAACAUCUUGGGAUAAGUUCCACAUUUCCAUUCAUUAAUCUGGUGAUCCUCCCAAGGCUAUAUCCAUUCUGCAUUCAUUAUUCCUGUGAUCCUUCCCCAGCUGCACCGGCCUUUUCUCUAGGAACAUUGUUUCCCAUCUGCGGUCGUUUAAGAGAUUUAAGAGAUGAUCCAGCAAGACAAGUCAGCCUUGAUUUUGUGUUGGCCUCAGCCAAUGGAUUUGGCUUCUCCUUCACAGCCAUGCGAACAUCCCAAACACGUAUAACUCCAUCUGAUGAUGCUGAUGCCAAUAGAUAUGGAUCAUUUACAUCAUCAUCAUUCCUAGUAAGCACAACAAUACCUUUCACACGGGCAGAAUGUGCAUCCUCAAUGCAAUAUGCAAGUUUUCCACUGUUUGUGUCCCAUGCUGUAAUAUUCCGGUCCUCACCACCAGUAAACAGAAGUUCAUUCUCUCCAGAAGCAGCACAAAGAACCCGUUUCCUACACUCAAGCUCAGUCACCAGCCGGGCAUCUUCAGCCUGAUGAAUCCCAACCUUCUCUUCUGUCACCAUAAAAAAUCUCUCUCCACCCAAAUCAAACUUCACCAAACUCGCCUCCUUCCCCAGCCUACAAUAAAAGCUCCUCCUUCCCCUCACUAAAUUCAACAUCGCCAAGCAUUCAUCCCUCCCCACCGUAAGCGCCAAUUUCCC
rnacentral:misc_RNA from 1 species